GUUGAACGCUGGCGGCAGGCCUAACACAUGCAAGUCGAGCGGAUGAAGGGAGCUUGCUCCUGGAUUCAGCGGCGGACGGGUGAGUAAUGCCUAGGAAUCUGCCUUGUAGUGGGGGCUAACGUCCGGAAACGGGCGCUAAUACCGCAUACGUCCAUAGGUAGAAAGUGGGGGAUCUUCGGACCUCACGCUAUCAGAUGAGCCUAGGUCGGAUUAGCUAGUUGGUGGGGUAAAGGCCUACCAAGGCGACGUUCCGUAACUGGUCUGAGAGGAUGAUCAGACACCCUGGAACUGAGACACGGUCCAGACUCCUAAGGGAGGGAGGAGUGGGGAAUAUUGGAGCAUGGGCGAAAGCCUGAUCCAGGCAUGCCGCGGGUGGGAAGAAGGUCUUCGGGUUGGAAAGCCCUUUUAAUUGGGAGAAAGGACAGUAAGUUAAUACCGUGCUGUUUUGACGUUACCAUCAGAAUAAGCACCGGCUAACUUCGUG
rnacentral:rRNA from 1 species